rnacentral:rRNA from 1 species
UCCAGACUCCUACGGGAGGCAGCAGUGGGGAAUUUUGGACAAUGGGCGCAGGCCUGAUCCAGCUAUUCCGCGUGAGGGAAGACGGCCCUACGGGUUGUAAACCUCUUUUGUCGGGGAGCAAAGCGAACCACGUGUGGUUCAUUGAGAGUACCCGAAGAAAAAGCAUCGGCUAACUCCGUGCCAGCAGCCGCGGUAAUACGGAGGAUGCGAGCGUUAUCCGGAUUUAUUGGGUUUAAAGGGUGCGCAGGCGGAGGUGCAAGUCAGCGGUCAAAUUGCGGGGCUCAACCCCGUACUGCCGUUGAAACUGCAUCCCUUGAGUUCGCGAGAAGUAUGCGGAAUGCGUGGUGUAGCGGUGAAAUGCAUAGAUAUCACGCAGAACUCCGAUUGCGAAGGCAGCAUACCGGCGCGCAACUGACGCUCAUGCACGAAAGCGUGGGUAUCGAACAGGAUUAGAUACCCUAGUAGC